AGCAAUAAAGUGGAUAGGGGAGGGGCAGUAAGGGAAUGAUAACGUAACAGCUUAGAUCCUAGUUUAACUAAGCUUCUUUGAACAUGCAGAGCGGCAGAAACAACACUCAGGAAUAAUCUAGUAGAUUAUAUCACUUAUAACAAAAUUUUAUCAAGCACUUAUCUUCACACUUUUGCUCGAUUACCGAAUCACAAGUUCUCAACCAAAAUUAUACGAAAUGGUCAAGAGGAAAAUGAAGGGAAGAGCAUUUACUCAUCGUCAAAAUUGGCAACAACAUAGAAAAUUGUUCGUCUUGUGGAAACACAACAAUCAAUAAGUUCCUCAGUUAAAGAAAAUGCAAACCAACCAAGUGUAUGAUGCAAUAAAUGGCUGUAGUAUUGAAUAUAAACUAGACAAGUACAAAGUUGACACGCUCUCAACCAAAUAGACUAUCAGCCAGUCUAGCUGCCAGCAUAAGAUAUUGAGAGUACAUCACAAGACAAAAGAAGCACAACAUCCUGAUUGCAUCCUCUGACUAGGUUUGUCAUUACAAAUUACCUUCCAACAACACUGCAUAUAAAAAUUGAGAUUUAAGUGAGUCCCAAGUCCACAUGACUCUUCCCCAGUCCUAGGUAGCAAUCAGGAUAGACAAAAGAAAGGUAGAUAUUUAUAAACCUGUGAAUUGCAUAAAACAUCUAGUUGCAACACAUUAACCAUCCUUUCACUCAGUCAAUAAAGGUUCCAUAGAGCUUUGUUCAUGCUUCCACAAAACUUGAGUACAAGCUCGUUAUUUCACACUCUUUAAUACGAAUAACUCAUGGAUCAUGAGCCACAAUCAUUAACUGCUCUUAUAGCCUUACAACUAUGGCUGCAAAAGCACUAUGAAUGACCAUAGCCUCGCAAAAAAGACAAUAUAUUCCCAAUCCGUCAGUCCAAAAGAUUCAGUAAAGAGAGAAGGGAGCAACGAGAGGAUUGGGACUACUAUUACAGAACCAGACAUUUCCACAAUUUGGUUCUCUUAAAUUAACUUCCAUAGUUCAAUUUGACAAUGUUUAUCCAAUAUAGUUCACAUCCCAAGAAAGGAUACAUGAAUGACAAAACUAAAAGAGGAGAAGCCAAGAGAGCUCUCCCACUCUUGCCACUUAGUUCAUCCAAUGAGAACUUGAGGCCAAUAAUCCAUCAAUGAAAAGGUUAAAGAAACAGGUAAGGCUUGGUAAAUUAUUCAUCUAAGAAGUAGCUAGAUAAUGUAGAAAAAUGAAUAAGCCAUGGUAUUUUUCAUCCGAGAAUAAAUAAGCUUUGGGGUUAUGCUAAAUCGUACAGAAUUUUUAUGCAAUUUGAGAAACAAGUAACCUCAUCUUACACCACAAAAAUAGAUCUUGCAACAGUCUCAUUAAAUAAACACAGCGAGUAAAUACCAUUGUAAACUCAACAAAAGCAAUACGAGAUGAAUGAUGGUAGUCUCCCAAUAUCCUCAUGCAUUGAACCUACCAAAAAGCAAAAAAAUGUUUGGCAAAGGAUCAUAAAAUCUGGAUAUUGAAUAACAACACAAUCGAGCGUAUCACGAAGGAUUGAAUAAUAAUUUAACAGCUGUAGGUCAUUCCAUUCUUUAAGAAAUAGAACUCUACUCGAAACUUAAGCUAAUUAAAAUACAGGAAUCCAUAGAAAUUAAUCCAGUAACACAAACCCAUCAAAGUAAACCAAUCAAACUUAAAUUUUGACAUGGUAAAAAAGGAAAAUAACCACUCAAAAUAAAAUAUGAAGCAGAAAAAAGCUGAAUUUCUUGAACCUAAUGGAUCACCAGGGAAAAAAAUAGCGAUAAAUUUAGAGCUACAAACAUUAAAGCAGUUUGAGAGCAAAAGAGAGUUAGAAACUGGUUUACCUUUCAGUUGCAGUAACUUGGAAACCCACCAAUUGAGAGCAAGCGAAAGAGUGACAGAGAGAAAAAGAAAAGAAAAGGUUGAGAAGGCCAAGCGUAAUUUGUGUUGUAAAGAAAAAGAAAAGAAAAGGUUGAGAGACAGAGGGAGCAAAUCGACAGAAAAGGUUGAGGCUAGAAGGAAGGAACAGAAGACAGAAAGGGGAAGCCGAUCGGGAGGGUAAAACAGGGAGGGUAAACUGAAGCAGCACCUAAACUGAGCAAAAGGGAGGGAUUAGAAAUCGGUGGAUUUUGGGGAUUAGGUCAGUAAUGUAUUAGACCUGUAAUAGCAAUACCCUGAACCAAACAAAGGAUUAAAGGGGGAUUAAGUGGGGCCCACCGAUUAGGGGUGUAUUGGCUAUGCCACCCAACCAAACAUGCUGUAAGUAUGUUCCAUGCCGUGAUAAUUUAUUUUCAUUCCAAUUCGGCAAUUUAACGUCAAUCUUAUGCCAUGCGUAGGUCAGGGACAUUGGGACAACCACAUGGGCUCAAUUUAGAAUUAAAUUCGCAUAAAUAAAGCUGCUGGAAGAGGAUGGUCAGAUGCUGGUUUUAAAGAAAUCCAAUUGACAAUGAGACAAAGAAGAAAAUUCGUCCCAAUUGGAUGUACAGCAGACUGAAUAUGUGACAAAAUCAGCAGGAGAAUUAUUUUUAAUUCCCCAAAUUUCCUUCUUGCUAGCGGCGGUCGACUCCGAUUGACUCAAGAAAAUUAAAUCAGCCUUGAAGAGUUAAAUUAAAGUAAAACUCUAGUAGGCUGGAGCUAUUUUUAUGCGACGGGUUAGGCUAAGAUCAAGGGGAUAAGAUCAAGUUUUGUUUUGAAUUAUUAGAGGUUAUAUUUUUCCAUAAAUGGAGGAAACGAAGCAGCAAACCGACAGAAGAUUUUUCAUUAUUUUGCAGGUAUAGUUCGGUCAUUCACUAGAGGAUUUUGUGAGCCAACACGCGCCAGUCAAUCAGCUAGAAAAUAGUUCAAAGAAUCAGCUAGUCGAGAGGAGAAGGGCUCGGUAAUUGAGAGCAGUUUUCCAUACGAGAUUGGUUCGAAAUUUACGCUGUCUUCAAUUAAUUUCAGUGCUGGACUUCUUGCUAUGAGUUGCUGAAUUAUUUCAGCUUAGUUAGGCACUCAUGAAGCUGAGCGCAAGGGAUUCAAAGACAUGAUUUUUCUUUCUAAAUUCGAGUUCGGUAUUCUCUAAUUGUUUGUUUUUAACGUUCAAAGGAAAUUUCUAAAUCAAUUGGAUUGAUCACCAAUUUAAUUUGGGGAUUUGUUUACAGUCAUCUAAGUACAAAUUGAGUAAUUAAAAUUCUUAAUAAACUUAGAAUAUGUGAUGAAUAAUUGGCCAGCAACUAAUUAAAAACAACUAGGGAUUUAAUGGUAGAGACCGCUGGAGGACUCUUUACGAUUGAUGCAAGGUAAAAUCUCUAAGAAUUUUAAAUACACCUUUAAUUGGUCGACGGAGAGAUAAUUAAGGGUAGAAAUUUAGCUAAGAACGUUCUCUGACUGGAUAAAAUUACCAGAGAUAGGAAAUUACUUCGUAAGUGAUUUCUUUAUCCUUGCUGCCGAAUUAAGAUACUAGAAUAAUUGAGGGAUGCAAUCGACUUGUGCUUAGCAGAUUGAGGAGCCCAUAACUAAGCCUUCUUUUUCUCUAUUGGAUUAAUUAUUUCAAAGUAAUUUAAAAUUUGAGUUAAAAUUUAUUCAUUAUUUUAGGAAAACGUAGAAGCAAAAACCACCUAUUUUACUAUCUUGCACGCGUUUACAUUAUCUUAAUUCUAAUUCUUUUCAAAUAGGUUUACACGAGCUUCUUCGUGGGACGAUUCGUUACUUACUAUAUAUUACCAGUUAAUAUUUUCUUAGUAGAAGAUAAAAUUCGGUGGUCGUAACGACAGCUACCAAAUUUUGGCGCCGUUACCGGGGAAGCGACGUAGUCAAAUCUAUUUGAUUUUCAGAACUUAUUUUGUUUUCUUGAUUUUGUCUAUGCAGGUAGAUUAGUCCCUAUAGUAUAUGUUAUUAAGGAGUGGACGAUGAACAUCGAAAGACCCUGUUAACAUUAUCGAUCAACAAGCUGAAUAUCCAAACCUCCACGUUGAGUCUAACGUUUCAGAGGAUAUCAACAUGGCCAACCAGACCUUGAAACAAUUGGCCGCACCUAACUUGGCUACGCAACCACCAUCUAUCACGUAUCCCGCCCUUGAUAGGCCAUUAAAGCUUAAUUCGGGAUUCCUGAAUUUGUUGCCAAAAUUCAAUGGGUUACCAGGUGAGGACCCUUACCGGCAUAUUAAUGAAUUUUUAAUUACUUGUUCAACUAUGCAACCAGAUGGCAUUGAAGAGGAACAAAUCAAGCUCCGAGCCUUCCCUUUCUCGUUACAAGGUUUGGCGAAGGACUGGUUAUAUUACAUGCCGCCAGGUUCAUUUACAACUUGGAUAGGGUUACAUAAGUCUUUCCUUGAGAAGUAUUUUUCGGCAUCUAGGAUAGGGUCGAUUAGGAAAGAAAUUUGUGGAAUUAAGCAGCUGGUAGGUGAGUCACUAUAUGAGUACUGGGAAAGAUUUAAACGGCUAUGUACGAGUUGUCUACAACAUCAGAUUAGCGAGCAGCUUUUAGUGUAAUAUUUUUAUGAAGGUCUGACGCCACAAGAUCGAGGAAUGAUUGAUGCCGCGAGUGGAGGUGCAUUGGUUGAUAAAACUCCUGAGCAAGCCCAAAAUUUGAUCACUAAUAUGGCACAGAAUACACAGUAAUUCGGUCUCAGGAGGUCUGACUUGGGUAAACGAAUGGAUGAGGGCCAGUCGAGUAUGAUAGAGGCUCAAUUAGCUAAUUUAACGGCUAUGGUAAGUAAGUUGAUGACUGGAGGUACUGCGAAAGCUUCACUAUGUGGCAUUUGUUGUUUAGAAGGACAUACCACAGAUACGUGCCCGACAUUACAGGAAGGGGAAGCUAACGCCAUCUUUCCAAAUCAGAGGAGGUAUGAUCCAUACUCGGCUACUUAUAAUGAGGGAUGGAGAGAUCACCCUAAUCUUAGAUAUCAAAAUUGAGCUACGCCUCUGGGAUUUGAGCAGCAAAAUUCCCGACCAUAUAAUAUGUCACAACCAACCCAUCAAAACCUAAGUGUCGAAACCAAGACCCAUACCAUGCUUGAACAAAUGGUGAAGAUGAUGGCUGACCAGAAGAAGGAAACCGAUGGAAGGUUUCAGUCUUUGGAAUUGGCAGUGAAGCAAUUGUAAACCAGAGCCUCGUCGAUUGACGUUAAUCUUGGGAACUUGCAAGCACAGGUAAAUAAUCGGUUACCAUCACAGCCUGUGGCAAAUCCGAAGGAUAAUGUCAGUGCUAUAACCUUGCGAAGUGGGAAGGAGUUGAGAUCGAUACUAAAGAAGGUCUAAAACAGCGACGGGGAAGACAAAACUGAGGUAAAAAAGGUCCGAUUUAGUGAUAUUGAAGAGGAAAAUUUAGCCUUGCCAAAGGCUGAUUUACAACCGUCGCAAGCAGCACCAAAGGAAGCAGGGAAAUCAUGUUUACAACAGCCCACUGCUUCACAUGGUGCAGCAAAUUUUGAACAGGAAACGAGGGUUCCCGAGCUUCAAGCACAAGCAAGUCAGAACGCUAAUAACCAACCUCGGUCUUAUGUGCCGAAGGUGCCAUUUCCACAGCGUUUGAGGAAGGAAAAGUCAGACGACGUCAAUGCCGAAAUUCUAGAGACUUUCCGCAAGGUACAAGUUAAUAUUCCAUUAAUUGAUGCAAUUAAACAGGUGCCUAGAUAUGCUAAGUUUUUGAAAGAAUUAUGCACAUUUAAAAGGAAAUUAAUUGGAAAUGAGAAGAUUAGCUUAGGCGAAAAUGUAUUUACGGUAUUUCAAAAGAAACUUCCUACUAAAUAUAAAGAUCCUGGAAUGUUUUCGAUACCUUGUAAGAUAGGAGACCUUAAACUUGAUAGAGCUAUGCCUGAUUUAGGAGCUUCUAUAAAUGUCAUGCCUAGGAGUAUCUACGAUAGGGUUCAAUUAGGUGCAUUAAAAGACACAGGACUGAUAAUUCAACUUGCAGAUAGGAGUAAUGCCUACCCUGAUGGUGUUUUAGAAGAUGUUCUAGUGCAAGUAAAUGAGUUAGUCUUUCCGACUGAUUUUUAUGUUUUAGACAUGGGACCUAAUGAUAAUUCAAUUGAUGUGCCCUUACUCUUAGGUAGACCUUUUCCUAAGACUGCUAGAAUGAAAAUUGAUGUGCAUAAAGGGAAUUUAACUAUGGAAUUUGAUGGUGAGAUAAUUAAAUUUAAUAUAUUUGAUGCUAUGAGAUAUCCCACUGAUAUUAAUUUCAUGUUUACUCUUAAUGUAAUUGACAAUUUUGUUCAAGAUGUUUAUGAAUUAGGGGAUGAGGACGAGUUGAAAAGCAUUCUGGCUAAGAGCAUUUUUGAUAUCGACAAGCAUGAAUUUAUCAUUUCUGAUUCUUUAAUUAAUUCGAUUUGUGCAUUAGACUCGCCUCAAUUAACACGCUUCAAGCCGAUCCUCCCUAACCUUACGGUGACUGGUAAGCAAAUUCCUUCAUUGAUUUCACCACCUAAAUUGGAAUUAAAAGAGCUGCCCGAAAAUUUAAAGUACAUUUAUUUGGGGGAAAAUCAAACUUUACCAUUGAUAGUGUCGAAUGCUUUAAUCGAAAUGCAAGAAUCUAAGCUACUUAGAGUUCUUAGGGAACAUAAAGAAGCCUUCCGUUGGACACUAGCCGAUAUUCGACUUUAUGUACUCACAAGAUAGCCUUAGAACCAGAUUCAGUCCCCAAAAGAGACCCCUAACGCCGAUUGAAUCCGCCAAUGAUGGAGGUAGUUAAGACUGAAAUUUUAAAAUGGUUGGAAGCCGAUGUCAAUUAUCCUAUAGCCGAUUCAAAGUGGGUAAGUCCAAUUCAUGUUGUACCUAAGAAGGGAGGAACCACAAUAGUUACCCACGCAGAAGGAUUAGAGAUUCCCAUAAGAGUGCAGAACGGUUGGCGGGUUUGUAUAGACUAUAGGAAACUGAACAAAGCCACUAAAAAAGACCACUACCCCUCCCAUUCAUGGAUCAAAUGUUAGAAAGGUUAACUGGUCGCUCACAUUUUUGUUUUUUAGAUGGUUAUUCAGGUUAUUUACAGGUACCCAUCGCACUUGAGGAUCAAGAGAAGACCACCUUCACUUGCCCGUUUGGAACUUACGCCUUCAAGAGAAUGCCUUUCGGAUUGUGCAACGCACCAGCCACUUUUCAAAGUGGUAUAACGAGCAUAUUUUUAGAUUUUAUUUCACAUUUAAUGGAGGUGUUCAUAGAUGACUUUACUGUUUAUGGUGAUUCAUUUGAUCAAUGUUUGUAUCAUCUUACGUUAGUUCUUAGGCGUUGCAUUGAGACUAAUCUGAUAUUGAAUUUUGAGAAAUGCCAUCUCAUGGUUAAGAAGGGUGUAGUGUUGGGGCAUGUUGUCUCGGCUAAAGGAUUAGAAGUCGACCAAGCCAAAUUCGAGGUAAUUAAAAAUCUACCGUAUCCAAGUACUGUGAAAGGAAUUCGAUCCUUUUUGGGACAUGUAGGUUUUUACCAUCAGUUCAUCAAGAAUUUUUCGCAAAUAUCGUCAUCUUUGUGUGCAUUGCUAGGUAAGGAUGUCGCAUUUGAAUUUAAUGAGCGUUGAAAAAAAUCUUUUGAUGAAUUGAAAUUGAAAUUGAUCACGGCUCCUAUCAUUCAAGGACCGAAUUAUGCAUUACCCUUCGAGAUUUUUUGUGAUGCUAGUGAUAAGGCUGUUGGUGCGGCACUUGGGCAAAUAAAUGGUAGGGAGUCUUAUAUUAUUAGGUUUGCUAGCGAGCUAUUAAACCCAGCUCAGUGCAAUUACACCACGACCGAGAAAGAACUCUAUGCCAUAGUCUUUGCCUUAGAGAAAUUCAGAGCGUACUUGUUAGGAGUCAAAGUUGUUGUAUUUUCUGACCAUAGUGCUCUUAAAUAUUUGUUGCAUAAAAAAGAAGCUAAGCCCAGAUUAAUAAGAUGGAUUUUACUUUUGCAAGAAUCCGACUUAGAGGUUAAGGAUAAGAAGGGUAGAGAAAACCUUGUGGCUGACCAUUUAAGUAGGAUAGAGACUGGGAUAUUGAGGAAUGAGCCGAGUGAUUUAUUUCCCGAUGAGCGACUUUAUAGUGCGUCUAGUGUUUUGCCAUGGUAUGCCGACAUAGUGAACUACUUAGUAACUAAAGAGUUCCCCACAAAUGCUCCUAGGCACUUGAGAGAAAAAAUUAGGAGUCAAGCCCAAUAUUAUUUAUGGGAAGAGCCAUACCUUUGGCGAUUUUGUAGUGACCAAAUUAUUAGGCGUUGUGUCGAUGAUAGUGAGAUAGAUUCGGUGCUUAAUUUUUUUCAUUCUCGAGAGGGUGGGGGACAUUUUGGGCCUAAGAGAACAGCUCAUAAAAUACUUGAGUGUGGGUUAUUUUGGCCGACUAUUCAUAAAGAUUCAUAUGCAUUUUGUAAAAAUUGCGCAUCAUGUCAAAAAACCGGUAAUUUAAGUAGCAGAAAUCAAAUGCCAUUACAUAAUUUUUAUGUUUGUGAUAUAUUUGAUGUAUGAGGUAUUGAUUUUAUGAGCCCUUUUCCUUCUUCUUUCGGUUAUCUAUACAUUCUUGUGUGUGUUGAUUACUUGUCGAAAUGGGUAGAAGCAUUUCCAACUAGGGCCGAUGAUGCUAAAACUGUGGUGAAAUGUCUUAAGACCAACAUCUUAAAUAGAUAUGGAGUACCUAGGGCUAUAAUUAGUGACAAGGGAACACAUUUCUGUAAUAAAACCUUGAAAGCUUUAUUUGCACAAUUUGGUGUCACCCACAAAGUGUCAACAGCUUAUCACCCUCAAACCAAUGGGCAAGCCGAGAGUAGUAACAAGGAAAUUAAGGGAAUUUUAGAGAAAAUUGUGAAACCUAAUAGAAAAGAUUGGAGCCAACGGUUAGAUGAAGCAUUGUGGGCUGUUCGAACAGCUUACAAAACGCCAAUAGGGAUGUCGCUUUAUAGGGUUGUUUUUGGAAAGGUGUGUCAUCUUCCCGUAGAGCUUGAACAUAGGUCAUUUUGGGUUGUUAGGCAAUGCAAUUUGGAUUAUAGUUUGGUAGGUGAAGAGCGCAAGUUGAAGCUGCAAUAAUUGGAGGAGUUGCGCUUGGAGGCCUAUGACAAUUCAGUCAUGUCGAAGGCAUUUCGUGACUCGAAGCUGCUUCGGAAAGAAUUCAAGGUAGGGGAAAAGGUAUUAUUAUUUAAUUCUAAGCUUAAAUUGUUUCCUGGUAAGUUAAAAUCAAGAUGGCUUGGACCGUUUAUAAUAACCGAGGUGCAUCAUCAUGGGGUAGUCGAAAUUCGGAGGCUCAAAACUAAUAAAAUUUUCAAAAUGAAUGGUCAUAGGUUGAAACAUUUUCAUGAAGGGGAGCAAGCAGCUUGGUUGGAGGAGAUCAAUCUUGAGGAUCCAUAAGGAAUUGUGAUGUCGAGCCAACGACUUAAACCAAAGGCACUUGUGGGAGGCAACCCACGUAUUCAGGGAAGUUUUUCUUUUAUCUUUUCCUUUAGUAUUGUUCUUUCCGUUGGUAACUUUAAUUUUCUUUUGCAUUAGGGGAAAUGCAAACAUUAAGUAUGGGGGAGAAUCAAUUCAUUGAUUUUCUAAAAUAUUUCAUGCUUGUUUUGUUUUUAGCAACUUUAUUGAAUAAGUCUUGUUAAAUUUCCUUUAGGAAAAUAUUUAAAUAAAAGAAUGCAGAUGUAUUUCAUGAAUUCAAGUUGAUUGGGGUGGUUGUAUGUCGAUUGAUUGGGUUAAAUUUUGUUUUCAAUUGAUUGAUUUUGGUUAGUUCGAAGAAAAAAAGAGAAAAAAAUUAAUUAAUCUGCUUAAUUGAUCAAUUAUGUGGUCCUUGUGAGGAAUUUUAGCCUAGAGCGUAAGUUGGGACAUCCACGCCAACUUGAGAGGUUAUUAUUCAUUCAUGUGUGAUUAUUGUUAUCGACUAUCAAUUACUCUAGAACUUGCUUUAGAUCUUAUUCAUGUUAGUAAUACAUUUGAUUUCCAUUAAUAUGAUUUAAGAGGCAUUAGGAAUUAAGCCACGAUUACUCAUAAAAGCCGACCUUGACAUUAUUACAAUUAGUUAGCCAAUUUGAAGCCUUAAUAUCUUAAUUUGUUUUUAUGUACCUCUAGAAAUUAAACCAAAGCCUGAAUCAACUCACCUUCUUAGGCUAGUUAAUUCAGUUUGGAAGUUUAUCAUAAUUUCGACAUAUGUUGGCCAAUAUAUGGUGUUUUUUUUAGCUAGAAAUUAAGGGCUGAUUUUCUUGAAAGAAAAAAGGAGAAGAAGAAAAUUAAUAUCAAUAAGUUGCAGCCUUCCUAUGAACGAAGUAUGAAAUGGAUCGGUUGAAUCAAGUGGUAUGGAGAUGAAAACGAUGAAAGUCUGAUUAGUCAUCUGCUUCCAAAGAAAAAAAGAGAAGAGAAAUAAGGGAAUUGAUGACUUCCGAAUGAUUUUACUAGCCUAAGAGAACUAGCUCCACCAUCCAAAUAAAUUCCUCCCGUCCACUGCACAUUACCUUGGCCCCAUUACAACCUUUAUUUUGCCUCGAUUAUAUUUAUGGAAUUUUAUGUGUUAUGUUAUAGGUAAGAUGGACAAGCAAGCCUAUGGUGGUUAAUUACGGUCGAUUUCAAUUUGAGAUCAUUAUACUAGCCUAAACACAAUGAGUGAGGAGUGUUAAUAAUUCUUUCCGGUGAGAAUUGAUCAAAGAAGCAUGAUUAAUUUCCUCUAUAUUUUCCUCUCUUGAAUAAACCAAAAUCUAAAUUGUUGAUUUCAAAAUUCAUCCCAAGCAUGGGCGAUGCAACAACUCUUGAUUAGACUUGAUAUUUUUGAAAUUCUUUUUUAUUUUCUCCGACUUGAUUGCUCAGGGACGAUCAAUAGUUUAAGUAUGAGGGAGUUUGUUAAGUUCAAUUUUUAGCUUAAUUUACUCGACUAAAUUAUUUAAAUUAUUGACUAAUCUUUGAUUAAUUAAAUUUUAAAUCAACCUAAAUUACAUUAAGUAUGUUCCAAGCCGUGAUAAUUUAUUUUCAUUCCAAUUCGGCAAUUUAACGUCAAUCUUAUGCCAUGCGCAGGUUAGGGACAUUAGGACAACCACAUGGGCUCAAUUUAGAAUUAAAUUCGCAUAAAUAAAGCUGCUGGAAGAGGAUGGUCAAAUGCUGGUUUUAAAGAAAUCAAAUUGACAAUGAGACAAAGAAGAAAAUUCGACCCAAUUAGAUGUACAGCAGACCGAAUAUGCGACAAAAUCAGCAGGAGAAUUAUUUUUAAUUCCCCAAAUUUCCUUCUUGCUAGCGGGGGUCGACUCCGAUUGAUUCAAGAAAAUUAAAUUAGCCUUGAAGAGUUCAGUUAAAGUAAAACUCUAGUAGGCUGGAGCUAUUUUUAUGGACGGGUUAGGCUAAGAUCAAGGGGAUAAGAUCAAGUUUUGUUUAGAAUUAUUAGAGGUUAUAUUUUUCCAUAAAAGGAGGAGAAGAAACAGCAGACUGGCAGAAGAUUUUUCAUUAUUUUGUAGGUAUAGUUCGGUCAUUCACUAGAGGAUUUUGUGAGCCAACACGCACCAGUCAAUCAGCUGGAAAACAGUUCAAAGAAUCAGCUAGUCGAGAGGAGAAGGGCUCAGCAAUUGAGAGCAGCUUUCCAUACGAGAUUGGUUCGACAUUUAUGUUGUCUUCAAUUAAUUUUGUUCUGGACUUCUUGCUAUGAGUUGCUGAAUUAUUUCAGCUUAGUUAGGCACUCAUGAAGCUGAGCGCAAGGGAUUCAAAGACAUGAUUUUUCUUUCUAAAUAAGAGUUCGGUAUUCUCUAAUUGUUUGUUUUUAACGUUCAAAGGAAAUUUCUAAAUCAAUUGGAUUGAUCACCAAUUUAAUUUGGGGAUUUGUUUACAGUCAUCUAAGUACAAAUUGAGUAAUUAAAAUUCUUAAUAAACUUAGAAUAUGUGAUGAAUAAUUGGCCAGCAACUAAUUAAAAACAACUAGGGAUUUAAUGGUAGAGACCGCUGGAGGACUCUUUACGAUUGAUGGAAGGUAAAAUCUCUAAGAAUUUUAAAUACACCUUUAAUUGGUCGACAGAGAGAUAAUUAAGGGUAGAAAUUCAGCUAAGAACGUUCUCUGACUGGAUAAAAUUACCAAAGAUAGGAAAUUACUUCGUAAGUGAUUUCUUUAUCCUUGCUGCCGAAUUAAGAUACUGGAAUAAUUGAGUGAUGCAAUUGACUUGUGCUUAGCAGAUUGAGGAUCCCAUAACUAGGACUUCUUUCUCUCUAUUGGAUUAAUUAUUUCAAAGUAAUUUAAAAUUUGAGUUAAAAUUUAUUCAUUAUUUUAGGAAAACGUAGAAGCAAAAACCCCCCAUUUUACUAUCUUGCACGCGUUUACAUUAUCUUAAUUUCAAUUCUUUUCAAAUAGGUUUACACGAGCUUCUUCGUGGGACGAUCCCAUAUUUACUAUAUAUUACCAGUUCAGAUUUGCUUUGUAGAGGAUAAAAUUCGGUGGUCGUAACGACAGCUACCACCCAUCCAACUAUGAUCCAUCGAGCCUCGGUUGGACUGUGGGUGGAAAUUGGCCUCCCGUGCGCUCACAGCCAGCGGUUGGCCUAAAUUCGAGUCCUUGAUGACAUCAUCAUCGCGACGAUCGGUGGGUAAUGCUAUAAGCAACCUCGUUCGGAGUCGUACGCGUUCGUCGAUCGAGACCCUUGAACCCUUUCGACAUCACAAGGACGGUGUUCGCAUCGCGACCCCAGGUCAGGCGGGAUUACUCGCUGAGUUUAAGCAUAUCAAUAAGAGUAGGAAAAGAAACUUACCAGGAUUCCCUUCGUAACGGCGAGUGAACGGGUAAAAGCCCAGCUUGAGAAUCGGUCGCCAUCGGCAUCCGAAUUGUAGUCUGGAGAAGCGUCCUCAGCGAUGGACCGGGCCCAAGUCCCCUGGAAAGGGGCGCUGGAGAGGGUGAGAGCCCCAGUGUGCUCGGACCCUAUCGCACCACGUGGCACUGUCUACGAGUCGAGUUGUUUGGGAAUGCAGCCCUAAUCGGGCGAUAAAUUCUAUCCAAGGCUAAAUACAGGCGAGAGACCUAUAGCGAACAAGUACUGCGACGAAAAGAGAGUCAAAGAGUGCUUGAAAUUUUUAGGAGGGAAGCGAGCGGGGGCCAGCUAUGCACCCCGGUCGGAUGUGGAACUGCGAGAGCCAGUCCGUCGAUCGGCUCGAGCCGUGGACUGACGCGGGUCAUGGCGGUGGCCGAAGCCCGGGCCUUUGAUACGCCCGUGGAGACGUCGUUGCCUCGAUCAUGGGAUUCAACACGCGUCGUCUCAGCGUGCUUCGGCAGCUGCGUGCUCCGGACGUCGGCCUGCGGGCUCUCCAUUCGGCUCGUCUUGAAACAUGGACCAAGGAGUCUGACAUGUGUGCGAGUCAAUGGGCUAAAAAACCCGUAAGGCUCAAGGAAGCUGAUAGAAGAGAUCCCUCGCGAGUGCACCGCCGACCAACCUUGAUCUUCUGAGAAGGGUUCGAGUGAGAGGAUGCCCUGUCAGGACCCGAAAAUGGUGAACUAUGCUGAGCGGGGUGAAGCCAGAGGAAACUCUGGUGGAGGCCCACAGCGAUACUGACGUGCAAAUUGUUCGUCUGACUUGGGUAUAGCGGCGAAAGACUAAUCGAACCGUCUAGUAGCUGGUUCCCUCCGAAGUUUCCCUCAGGGUAGCUGGAGCCCUUAGCGAGUUCUAUCGGGUAAAGCCAAUGAUUAGAGGCAUCGGGGGCGCAAUGCCCUCAACCUAUUCUUAAACUUUAAAUAGAACGGAAUCGAGAGCUCCAAGUGGGCCAUUUUUGGUAAGCAGAACUGGUGAUACGGGAUGAACUGGAAGCCGGGUUACGGUGCCCAACUGCGCGCUAACCUAGAACCCACAAAGGGUGUUGGUCGACUAAGACAGCAAGACGGUGGUCAUGGAAGUCGAAAUCUGCUAAGGAGUGUGUAUCAACUCACCUGCCGAAUCAACUAGCAUCGAAAAUGGAUGGCGCUUAAGCGCGCGACCUAUACCCGGCCGUCGAGGUAAGGGCUAGGCCCCGAUGAGUAGGAGGG
rnacentral:lncRNA from 1 species